rfam:Asian citrus Psyllid, Diaphorina citri - Florida Strain, whole genome shotgun sequence.
CAAAACAUUUAUGGCACGUUGAAUGUACCAGUUCCCAAUGGAUCACUGAAGUUAAGAAACGUGGCGCGUGAUUUGUAUCAGGAUGGGUGACCGUCUGGGCAAUCGCGUGCUUCUGA